rnacentral:rRNA from 1 species
AUUGAACGCUGGCGGCAGGCCUAACACAUGCAAGUCGAGCGCGCGGCGGACGGGUGAGUAAUGUAUGGGGACUGCCCGAUAGAGGGGGCUCACUACGGGAAACUGUUGCUAAUCCCGCAUACUAUCGGCUAACCCCUAUGGGAUGGGCUAGUAGGUGGGGUAAAGGCUCACCUAGGCGACGAUCUCUAGCUGUUCUGAGAGGAUGAUCAGCCAAACGGGGAGUGAGACACGGCCCAGACUCCUACGGAGGCAGCAGUGGGGAAUAUUGCACAAUGGGCGCAAGCCUGAUGCAGCCAGGCCGCGGGUAUGAAGAAGGCCUUAGGGUUGUAAAGUACUUUCAGCGGGGAGGCGUUACCCGCAGAAGAAGCACCGGCUAACUCCGUGCCAGCAGCCGCGGGAAUAC